rnacentral:rRNA from 1 species
UACAGAGGGGGCAAGCGUUGUUCGGAAUUAUUGGGCGUAAAGCGCGUGUAGGCGGUUUGAUUAGUCUGAUGUGAAAGCCCUGGGCUCAACCCAGGAAGUGCAUUGGAUACUGUCAGACUUGAAUACGGGAGAGGGUAGUGGAAUUCCUAGUGUAGGAGUGAAAUCCGUAGAUAUUAGGAGGAACACCGGUGGCGAAGGCGGCUACCUGGACCGAUAUUGACGCUGAGACGCGAAAGCGUGGGGAGCGAAUGGG